UUGAUCCUGGCUCAGGACGAACGCUUGCGGCGUGCUUAACACAUGCAAGUCGAACGGAGUUGCAGGGAUAGUUUACUAACCUUGCAAUUUAGUGGCGGACGGGUGAGUAACACGUGGGCAACCAACCUUAAAGAGGGGGAUAACAACGAGAAAUCGUUGCUAAUACCGCAUAAAGUUAGCUAAUCGCAUGAUAAGCUAAUGAAAGGAGAAAUCCGCUUUAAGACGGGCCCGCGCCUGAUUAGCUAGUUGGUGGGAUAAAAGCUCACCAAGGCGACGAUCAGUAGCCGAUCUGAGAGGAUGACCGGCCACACUGGAACUGAGACACGGUCCAGACUCCUACGGGAGGCAGCAGUGGGGAAUAUUGCACAAUGGGGGAAACCCUGAUGCAGCAACGCCGCGUGGAGGACGAAGGUUUUCGGAUUGUAAACUCCUGUCAUUUGGGAAGAUAAUGACGGUACCAAAUGAGGAAGCCACGGCUAACUACGUGCCAGCAGCCGCGGUAACACGUAGGUGGCGAGCGUUGUCCGGAAUUACUGGGCGUAAAGGGCGUGUAGGCGGCUAGUCAAGUCAGCUGUGAAACCCCGGGGCUUAACCCCGGGCUUGCAAUUGAAACUGAUUAGCUCGAGUGUCGGAGAGGAAAGCGGAAUUCCUAGUGUAGCGGUGAAAUGCGUAGAUAUUAGGAGGAACACCAGUGGCGAAGGCGGCUUUCUGGACGAUAACUGACGCUGAGGCGCGAAAGCGUGGGGAGCAAACAGGAUUAGAUACCCUGGUAGUCCACGCCAUAAACGAUGGAUACUAGGUGUGGGAGGUAUCGAACCCUUCCGUGCCGCAGUAAACGCAAUAAGUAUCCCGCCUGGGGAGUACGGCCGCAAGGCUGAAACUCAAAGGAAUUGACGGGGGCCCGCACAAGCGGUGGAGCAUGUGGUUUAAUUCGAUGCAACGCGAAGAACCUUACCAGGUCUUGACAUCCAAAGAAUCCUGAUGAAAGUCGGGAGUGCCUUAGGGAGCUUUGAGACAGGUGGUGCAUGGUUGUCGUCAGCUCGUGUCGUGAGAUGUUGGGUUAAGUCCCGCAACGAGCGCAACCCUUGCUAUUAGUUGCUAACAUUGAGUUGAGCACUCUAAUGGGACUGCCCGUGACAAGCGGGAGGAAGGUGGGGAUGACGUCAAAUCAUCAUGCCCUUUAUGAUCUGGGCUACACACGUGCUACAAUGGAUGGUACAGAGAGCAGCGAGACAGUGAUGUGGAGCGAAUCUCAAAAAGCCAUUCUCAGUUCGGAUUGCAGGCUGCAACUCGCCUGCAUGAAGUCGGAAUCGCUAGUAAUCGCGGAUCAGCAUGUCGCGGUGAAUGCGUUCCCGGGCCUUGUACACACCGCCCGUCA
rnacentral:rRNA from 1 species